GAGUUUGAUCGUGGCUCAGAGUGAACGCUGGCGGCAGGCCUAACACAUGCAAGUCGAGCGGCAGCGCGGGGGCAACCCUGGCGGCGAGCGGCGGACGGGUGAGGAAUGCGUCGGAAUCUGCCUCUUUGUGGGGGAUAACGUAGGGAAACUUACGCUAAUACCGCAUACGACCUACGGGUGAAAGUGGGGGACCUUCGGGCCUCACGCAGAGAGAUGAGCCGACGCCGGAUUAGCUAGUUGGCGGGGUAAAGGCCCACCAAGGCGACGAUCCGUAGCUGGUCUGAGAGGAUGAUCAGCCACACUGGAACUGAGACACGGUCCAGACUCCUACGGGAGGCAGCAGUGGGGAAUAUUGGACAAUGGGCGCAAGCCUGAUCCAGCCAUGCCGCGUGUGUGAAGAAGGCC
rnacentral:rRNA from 1 species